rnacentral:rRNA from 1 species
GAUGAACGCUGGCGGCGUGCCUAAUACAUGCAAGUCGAGCGAACAGAUGAGGAGCUUGCUCCUCUGACGUUAGCGGCGGACGGGUGAGUAACACGUGGAUAACCUACCUCUAAGACUGGGAUAACUUCGGGAAACCGGAGCUAAUACCGGAUAAAAUAUUGAACCGCAUGGUUCAAUAGUGAAAGACGGUUUUGCUGUCACUUAUAGCUGGAUCCGCGCCGCAUUAGCUAGUUGGUAAGGUAACGGCUUACCAAGGCAACGAUGCGUAGCCGACCUGAGAGGGUGAUCGGCCACACUGGAACUGAGACACGGUCCAGACUCCUACGGGAGGCAGCAGUAGGGAAUCUUCCGCAAUGGGCGAAAGCCUGACGGAGCAACGCCGCGUGAGUGAUGAAGGUCUUCGGAUCGUAAAACUCUGUUAUUAGGGAAGAACAAAUGUGUAAGUAACUAUGCACGUCUUGACGGUACCUAAUCAGAAAGCCACGGCUAACUACGUG